rnacentral:rRNA from 1 species
CCUACGGGUGGCAGCAGUAGGGAAUAUUGGUCAAUGGGGGAAACCCUGAAGCAGCAAAGCCGCGUGGAGGAUGAAGGUUCUAGGGUUGGAAAACCCUUUUGGUCGAGAAGCUAAUGACGGUAUCUAACGAAUACGCAGCGGCUAACCCCGUACCAGAACGCGUGGGAAUGUGGAGGGUGCAAGCGUUACUCGGAAUCACUGGGCGUAAAGAGCGAGUAGGCGGAAUAGCAAGUCAGGUGUUAAAUCCUAGGGCUUAACCAUAGAACAGCAUUUGAAACUGGUAUACUAGAGUAGGGGAGAGGUAGGCGGAAUGCGUGGUGUAGGGGUAAAAUCCGUAGAGAUCGAGAAGAAUUCUCAUUGCGAAGGCGACCUACUAGCACAUAACUGACGCUGAUGCGCGAAAGCGUGGGGAGCAAACAGGAUUAGAUACCCGAGUAGUC